rnacentral:tRNA from 1 species
ACCUGGGUGGCUCAGUCGGUUGAGCGUCCAACUUCAGCUAGGUCAUGAUCUCAUGGUCUGUGGGUUCGAGUCCCACACUGGGCU